UAGUUGAGACUCCUGUUUACCCUCAUUUUUCAUAUGCUGGUUAUUUUGUAGUUUCUUUCUCCUCUCCCAUUUACAAUUGUCAUCUCCCUCACCUUUGGUUCCUUUUUUCUCCAUUAUCCUUUUUCCCAUCUAUUUCUAUUUCUUCUUAAAUUUGUAUUAAGUGUUAAUAACAUUGACUUGAAAUAUAUUUUAAUAGACCUUAUACUCUUUCACCUCUUUUUUUUUUUUAGAAGACAAGACACAGGAAGAAAAUGAUAUGGGAGGUUGCUGAGCCAAAAUGGCGAAGGUAGAGAGACGAUCACAUAAGCAUUUCGUAUGGGAUGCAUCGGACGUAAUUUAGAUGCAUCUCCAGUUAUGCAAAGCGAGAGUGGGAAAAAGCAAGCAGGCGGCGGUGCGGCGUGCAGAGAGCUGUCCAGUGCCGGAGGUGCUGAAACCGGGACUAGCUCUGUCCAGCCCUCUGCGAGGAACGGCGGCGGCAGCGGCGGCAGCUAGAGCAGCCGCCAGAGCGUUGGCAGCCACUUCCUAUGCUCAUCGGAUCGUUUCAAACACUCAGGGUGUAAAGAGGCUUUUCAUAUUUUCAUACCAGCUCUGAUUCCCAGUCCAUAGUUUGGACCGUGAAUGCUGGCUUUUAAAAUGCGGAUUUCUCUGAAAAGCCUGCCUAAAAGGUUACAUAGCUUGGGUUGGGUGAUAGGAUCUUCUUCGCUGCUGGUUAGGGAUUUUUUCCUCCCUUUAGAAUUAGCUGCUGUGAAAAUUUCACCCUGGAAACGGGAAGCAGCAGCAGCGGCAUCAGCUGGUUCCGACUUUCAUUGCCUUCGCCGGGUUUCCAGGGGAGGGGUGGGUUUCAGAUAUAAGCUUCCCACUACACACUUCUCUCAGCUCAGAGCUCCUCUGAAGCCCUUGACAUUUCCCCCCCUCAACUGCCUCUUUGCCCUGGGGCAGAAGGAUUAAGUUAACCCCAAGUCUGCUAAAACAUUUAGAAGAACUAAAUCCACCCCAAAGUUCAGUAGGAGGGGGAAAGAGGGCCUGGUUCAAUUUUCUCUUUGGUGUAGCCAUUCAAUGUGCUAAAGCAUAUGGUUUAUUUCCCACCCCAGCAGAACAAUAAAAAUGGUAUCAACCUACGUCUUCUUAGCAGGGGGUGGGGGCUGGAAGGGAACCCUUCCACCCCCAGCUUAACUACUCUAUAGGAAGAAAGAAAAGGGAAGGAACGGGGAAAAGCUAUAGAGCUCAACCAAUCAACUUUAUUAUCAUUACACGUGUUCUGUGUUGAAUGCACCAAUUGUCACCUCCCCUCCCCCAGGCAAGGAAACUCUCCAGCUAGCAAACCUGUAUGUAUGAGUGUGUUUAAAUUUUAAGCCAAGUUACUAUCUGUGUUAAAAAUGACUAUAAAACUUGGAUUGAAAAACACAUGGCUUGAAGUUAAUUUUGAGGUGAUACUUUUGAUUUGCCUUCUACAUCUUUGAAUGCCUAAAACUAUUGGCUUAAAUAUGCAUGCAGUCUAUUUCAGAGACUCAAUGAGAGGUUUCUCUGAGACAGUUGGACUUCCAAUUUGAGUUACAGAAUAUAGUUCACACUUAUCCAUUUUUGGUAUAUAUAAGCAAUACCUUUUAAUAUUCAUGAUUUGCUAUCAUUAAAAUUUAUGACUCAAUACACUCUUAAUUACAACUCCUUUUAAGAAAGAAUACAUUUUAUUUGGGGAAAGUUAGAUGAAAAUAUACUGAACUUCCCCCAAAUACCUCAAAGUAUUAGUCAAUUUGAAAUGUUGUCUCUUUUCUUUUUUUGAUACCAUACCAUCAUACCAAAUUUUCAAAACAAAAUCAGUUAUACUUUCAACUGCAAUAGUAUUAAAUUUAAAUUCUAUCUUAUCUUAGCAGCACAUCAAUUUAUUUCAUUAGUUGUCUGUCUCUUAUCUUCUUGUAACAAACAGUUAAGGCCAAAUGAAAAACAUACAUCUCAGCUGAUCAAAGUUUAAAGAAGGAAGAUACACUUAAGAGAAUUUGACAUAUUUUAAAACACAACAUCUGCAUUAUUCAUUCUGGAUGGCAGUUUUACUUUAAUGCAGUAUCUCUGCUUUCAAGAUGGAGUCCAGUACUAAUGCUUUUCACAUUAUGUGGUUAUGCCCAAUAAACUGAUUCAAUAUCUUAACAAGGAAGAACUUUACUGUAAAUAAGACUUCAUAUGAGACACAGUUAUAUAUUUAUAUUCAUGUAAUGAGAGUUCAUUACUCAAGAUUAUAUUAACAUCACUAGACUUUGGUUGUCAGAUAUAAAGUCUAUAUUCAAUAUAAUGUUGCUAGACUCUGAAGAUAAUGCAAAUUUUACAUGACAUCUUUAGAAAACUGGGUCAAUUUGCUUUACUCAGUACAGUGAUUGCAUUGCUGACCUGGCCCAGCCCCAGGCAGAAUAGGGAAGUAAAUAACUGUGGUCUCUAUGCUUUAGUCCUUCACUGUUCCCUGCACUCCCUGCCUGGAUAUGAAAUAUUUCUAAUCUCACAGAGGCCCUUUUUAUGUGUACCUUCCUGAGGCCACAUUACCUGUGUCCUUACCUUUCUUCAUAACUAUUAUCCCUUUAAUGACUUUAUCUGAUUAAAUUAAUGUAUAUUAAGGUUUCAGAUACCAAUUACAGCUUAACAUAUUUCUCUUAGUUUAAAAGAAGACAUAUAAUUCAAAAUAAUAUGUCUGAUAGGACAACAUCAGAAUUUGAAAUGUGUUAGUAGGAGAGAAGAUCUUUUGAAGGGUGAGAGGAUAGCUACCAAACUCUGUACUAGGUUGCUCUUAAGAUUUGGGUAAUAAGUGUGAUACUGUUCUAAUGCUAAUAUUUAUAUUGUUUCAUAAAAUUUCUUGAUAUUUGAAGAUCACAUAAAACUUCCAAUUUUUAAUGACUAGUAUACAUGUAACUGUUACUGCAAACCCUAUAUUACACACUGCCUAUAUUUUCAAACUUUUCAUAGUUUAUUCCUGUUGUACAAAAUUCUUUGAAAGCAUGGUGACCAUGGCUAAUUGAUUUCAGGGAGAUCUUAUGAAGCAAACUGAUAUAUUGUAGAGCUAAUGUGAAUCAAAGCAACUUCCUUAUUCUGCACAGAGCAAGGGUUUUAAAUGUGGACUAUUGAAGUGGUCAUAUUAU